GUCAGCCCCUCAUAAGGUGGCUCUCAUGCUUUCCACCCCCAUUUAGGACCAGAAUAUAGUGGACACAGAAGGGGCUUCUGUGAGAGAAAAAUGAGAGCAUAAAAGCACUAGGGGUUGUACAACAGAGGAUUUUGCUGUGGAUCCAUCUUUGGAAGUACCAGACAAUUGCUAUCACGGGAAUGAAGGAACAGAAGCCAGGAGCCCAAGGGAAUGACAUGCCUAACUGUGAGUGCCCGGUUGGCUUCUAGAUGGCAGGGGCUGCUUGUUUUUCCUAAUACUAGACAAUGGAGAUUUAACAAUAAGUCCUUGAGUGAGAGGAGCUCACGGCCUGCAGAGAAGCAAACAUUUACAAUACCAGGCAGGUAGGGGUCUCAUCCUGAACCCAAGCCUGGCACCUUUGCCUAAUGGGUGAGAACACAACUUUGAAAUCAAGCUUGGCUCAAAUCCGGUUCUGUCGUUUACCACCAUCUUUUCAACUUUGGGCAGUAUACCUGGUAUCUCCAGGCUCGUUUCUUGCUUCUGAAGCUGGGCCAAUAAUACUGAUCCACCGGGGCUGCUAUAAAUACGAGACCACUAAUAAGAAACGCUGACCACAGUGACCACACACAACGGAAACUCAAAAAACGUGAGUCCCUUCCCCUUCCCAGAAGACCCUUUCUUUCUGUCUGCAGGCUCCGGAUUUCUCUACUAGGUCUGAAUCCCAGGUCUGUAACACACUUUCUCCGUAGCCUUUAAGAAGCUGGGAACCUCAGGGCAUCCACUCGUUUGCCUGUACACGAAGAUUAUCAAACCUCCCAUGCUGGCCGCCUGGAAGGUUAGUGAGAUAAUGUAGGCAUAUUCAAGAUUAGACAAUUAUUAAAUAAAAAUUUCCCCAAACUGACUCUCUGCUGAUGAAUUUAUCAUAUAUUCUAUGUGAAAAAAAGCAAGCGCUCAGUUUCAGUCCUACUUUCUCCUUGACUAUAUAAGCACUCAAUCUUCCUCCUGAUAAUUAAAGCAAGGAAAAAAACGAAGCCGAGGAAUGAGCAACAUUUUAAAUAUCUUGAACAUGGUUAUGAUUAUAGAACAAAAUAUGGAUUUGCUCACUCAGUAAGCUAGUCCCUGCUUGGUAGGCAAGAGGGCACCUCCUUGAAGCUUGAAAGGGGGGAAUUUGGAAGGAAUACAGACAGUCCUACUGUUUCUGUUAGGAUUGUGUUAAGGUGUUAAGCCGUGAGCAAUAGCUAAUCCUACCAUAGUGACUUAUGCGAAAAGUCCAGCAGUAGGUACAACUCAAAGAUGUCAUCAAGAGACCAGGUUCCUUCC
rnacentral:lncRNA from 10 species